CAGACAGAGGGAUAUAAUCGCCAAGAGGCUCUCAAACUGGGAUCCACGGAGCCAGGGGUGCCGGGUACCUCUUCAGGACUGUGCAGAGCCCACGCUAGGACUGGGGACGCAGUGAUGAGCAAGACAGACACUGUCCCUGCCGUCCUGGAACUCCCAUCUCGGAGAGAAAACAAAACACGAAGCAAAUAAACACCAGCAAAUACGUCAGGACAAGCGGCGAUAUCGGCUGGGAUAGAAGGUGGAGGUGAUGGAGAGGCGAGCGUCAGUGCAGACGGAGGAGGUGGGGGAGGAGACUCAGAAAGCGACGUUCGACUGGGGCCAGAGGGGUGAGCAGUGCGAGUCGGGCAGCUCUCCAGGCACAUAAUUGGUGGUUGCUGAACAUGUGUGGAACAAAUGAGCAGCUAACAAGCCAGAAAUUCCGAGCGUGUGCCCCGUGUCGCUCCAGACACAACUUCCCCACCCGUGUCACCCCGAUGGGUCCCUCCGACUGGCAACCAGGGGCAUUUUCCAGCCCUCACGCCUCCUACGGGGCCCACCCGUGUCACCCGUGUCACCCGCGCAGAGGCACUCGCCAGGACUUGAGAGGAUCUCCGCUCAGAACCCCUCACAGCCUCCCUGACAUCACCAGCAGCCCUCGAGCUGCAGAGCAAGCGGGUUUUGUCUCCCUGCAGACUCCAGCCCCGGAGCGCCAGGCACAGACGCCCAGCGAGGCCGCCUCUGCGCUCGGGGGGAACAGCCCUGACGGAUCGGUGGUGUCCGCCAGGCGACGGCAGAACACACAGAGGCACAUUGGCCACGUAUUUUCCUUGUCACCCAGGGCCCCACAAAUGACCACUCAGGCAAGAAACCUCCUUCAGGUCUAAUUGCCUGGACGAGCAUCCGCAUCUGCCGCCCUUUCCUCAGGGGCCACCUGAACCAGGUCACUGAUUUCUUUUUUCCUGCCUCGACUGCUCAUUAGCUCAGAGCUAAAUGUGUGGCUCAAAUACAGCAAACUGUAUACAGCUCGAUGGCCCGAAUAGGGGGUCUCACGCUCCCCCUGGCUUCAACCUUCUAGAUAAUCUACAUCUAUGUCUUUCCUGAUCUUAUUUUUAUGAUUUCUAUUUAGUUACAGGUACAUAAACAUACACACAUAUAUGUAUAGACAUAUGUAAACAGACAUACACACAUAUAUCAAUAUAAAAUAUCUACGUAUAGGUCCGGUAUGUAAUACCUACCUUUUGUCUAUGAAUAUAUCUUUUUU